GCUCUGGGGCCUUUGCAGACCGUGGGGAGGUCUCUGCUGGCCUGAUGCUUCCCCCGUCAGCUGAGGUUCCCCUCUGUCUGGGAUGCUGCCUUGAGUC
ensembl:miRNA Mir1190 microRNA 1190